AUGGUGUGUGGGUUCUCUCGCAUACUUUCCGGUGCACUUCCUCGCUCGGCAGGUUAGCAUCAAUUUCGGUCAUCAUAAAAAAUUUGAGGGAAUGUGGCUUUCCUUCGGGAAAGUGUUAUAGACCUCGAUCCAUGUGGUGACCGGGAUUGAGGAUUGCAGCGGAUACCCUCGUGGCUUGUCACCUGGCUUCUGACGGUUGCCUCGCUUUCGACAGCUUGCUAACGUUAGCGGGACUCGAUUGUCUAGAUGUCAGAUUGACUCUAU
rnacentral:rRNA from 1 species